UAAAAGGAUUUGUUUGAAUCCAUUUUAUUUUGAAAAAAAAAAAGUAU
rfam:Vitis vinifera, whole genome shotgun sequence of line PN40024, unoriented chromosome 15, chr15